rnacentral:rRNA from 1 species
AACGGACGCUGGCGGCAUGCCUAACACAUGCAAGUCGAACGAAGGCUUCGGCCUUAGUGGCGCACGGGUGCGUAACGCGUGGGAAUCUGCCCCUCGGUUCGGAAUAACAGUUAGAAAUGACUGCUAAUACCGGAUGAUGACUUCGGGCCAAAGAUUUAUCGCCUAGGGAUGAGCCCGCGUAAGAUUAGGUAGUUGGUGGGGUAAAGGCCUACCAAGCCGACGAUCUGUAGCUGGUCUGAGAGGAUGAUCAGCCACACUGGGACUGAGACACGGCCCAGACUCCUACGGGAGGCAGCAGUGGGGAAUAUUGGACAAUGGGCGAAAGCCUGAUCCAGCAAUGCCGCGUGAGUGAUGAAGGCCUUAGGGUUGUAAAGCUCUUUUACCAGGGAUGAUAAUGACAGUACCUGGAGAAUAAGCUCCGGCUAACUCCGUGCCAGCCGCCGCAGUAA